ACUCCUGCGGGAGGCAGCAGUGGGGAAUAUUGGACAAUGGGCGCAAGCCUGAUCCAGCCAUGCCGCGUGAGUGAUGAAGGCCCUAGGGUUGUAAAGCUCUUUCACCGGAGAAGAUAAUGACGGUAUCCGGAGAAGAAGCCCCGGCUAACUUCGUGCCAGCAGCCGCGGUAAUACGAAGGGGGCUAGCGUUGUUCGGAAUUACUGGGCGUAAAGCGCACGUAGGCGGAUCGAUCAGUCAGGGGUGAAAUCCCAGGGCUCAACCCUGGAACUGCCUUUGAUACUGUCGAUCUGGAGUAUGGAAGAGGUGAGUGGAAUUCCGAGUGUAGAGGUGAAAUUCGUAGAUAUUCGGAGGAACACCAGUGGCGAAGGCGGCUCACUGGUCCAUUACUGACGCUGAGGUGCGAAAGCGUGGGGAGCAAACAGGAUUAGAAACCCGUGUAGUCCCAU
rnacentral:rRNA from 1 species